AGGUGAUGCGUGCUUGCACGCAAUCGCAUGGAUAUGUGCGAGGCGCCUCUGCAUGAGCAAGCAGCGGGGUAGGGGCCCCGCGAAUUGCGAAUGCAGGGAGGAUUGCGGGAGCACGGAGUGCGAAGCAAUCCUA
rnacentral:sRNA from 1 species